AUUGAACGCUGGCGGCAGGCCUAACACAUGCAAGUCGAGCGAGCGGCGGACGGGUGAGUAAUGUCUGGGAAACUGCCUGAUGGAGGGGGAUAACUACUGGAAACGGUAGCUAAUACCGCAUACCAUCAGAUGUGCCCAGAUGGGAUUAGCUAGUAGGUUGGGUAACGGCUCACCUAGGCGACGAUCCCUAGCUGGUCUGAGAGGAUGACCAGCCAGACUGGAGAUGAGACACGGGCCAGACUCCUACGGUAGGCAGCAGUGGGGAAUAUUGCACGAUGGGCGCAAGCCUGAUGCAGCCAUGCGGCGUGUGUGAAGAAGGCCUGCGGGUUGUAAAGCACAUUCAGCGGAGAGGCGUUACCCGCAGAAGAAGCACCGGCUAACUCCGUGCCAGGAGCCGCGGUAAUAC
rnacentral:rRNA from 1 species